rnacentral:SRP_RNA from 1 species
UCGUGCUAGGCGGGGAGCUAGCGGUGCCCUGUACCCGCGAUCCGCUUUAGCGGGGCUGAAUCCCCUCCCGAGGCCGGCCAUCGCGGACUUCUGUCGCGGCCGAAGGCGUUGACGGCCGGGUCCUGUGCAGCAGCGGGCUGCGAACCCCGUCAGAUCCGGAAGGAAGCAGCGGUAAGCGGAUCACCGCUGGGUGCCGCAGGGUCACCUGGCUCGAGCUGACGAUCGCGGCGUGGCCGAGGUGACCUGGUCGACGGAGGGUGCACGA